UGGGGAAUUUUGGACAAUGGGCGAAAGCCUGAUCCAGCCAUGCCGCGUGAGUGAAGAAGGCCUUCGGGUUGUAAAGCUCUUUUAGUCGGAAAGAAAGAGUCGCAAUGAAUAAUUGUGAUUUAUGACGGUACCGACAGAAAAAGCACCGGCUAACUACGUGCCAGCAGCCGCGGUAAUACGUAGGGUGCGAGCGUUAAUCGGAGUUACUGGGCGUAAAGGGUGCGCAGGCGGUUUUGCAAGUCAGAUGUGAAAGCCCCGGGCUUAACCUGGGAAUUGCGUUUGAAACUACAAGGCUAGAGUGCAGCAGAGGGGAGUGGAAUUCCAUGUGUAGCAGUGAAAUGCGUAGAGAUGUGGAAGAACACCGAUGGCGAAGGCAGCUCCCUGGGUUGACACUGACGCUCA
rnacentral:rRNA from 1 species